CCCCGCCCUCCUCCCGCCUUUGGGAGCCCGCUCGUGGUCUCCCGGUCUGGAAAGCUGUUGGAGCCGUGGGGCCGUGGAACGGUUCAUGUGGCAGUUGGAGAACGGGACCUGGCUGGGCAGGACAGCCUUGAUAGCUCCACCCCUACCAUCCCAGGUCCUCCAGGGGGGUGGGAGGGCUGCCUUCCCCAGGGAUACACCUUUAGAGAUCUACGCUCUGAUGUUGGGACCUGGCAACCAUCUCAAGGAGCUCAUUUAGGGCCAACCUCUGGAACUGACCGAUCGGGGCCAUCUCCAGGGGAUCUGCAGUGUCAUCAGAUUACCUGCAAGCCUGUAGAAGAGGAAGGAUAUGCCAGUGAUCGCUUCGGAGGUGACAGAGGAACCUUCCUUUCCUUACGCUCAUUAUACAUAUGAGGAAACUGAAAGCACGAAAAGGGCUGCGGACCCAGACUGGCCUGGCAAGGAUGUGCGCUCCGCAACAAAAGAAGCCAUUGCAAUAAGAAGCCUGUGCACCACAACGAAGAGUAGCCCCCGCUCGCCACAACUAGAGAAAGCCCACGCCCAGCAAUGAAAACCCAACGCAGCCAAAAUAUAUAAAUAAAUAAAUUUAUUAAAAAAAA